UCUAUGGGCUUCCUCUGUGACUGUAGUAGUUGCAAUAGCUCAGAGUCGACGCUUUAUCGAGCUAUUUUACACGCUGCAGUGCUCUUAGAUAUAUUUAUGUCUACCCUACAAGUAAUUAGAGAACCUCGAGAACGUCGAGCAUCAAUACUUGUGCGCAUCUUUGUAUAUCUGUCACACCAGUGGUAAGCAAACCGUCACUGCCUCCUGCACCAAAUUGCCGCGACCUGCAUACUUUGGAAGUCCCCACUUUUUCUAUGCCGUUGCAAGGAAUUCCUUAUCAGCAAAGAAAGGUAAGAAUAGAAACUGUACCCACACAACAAAGCCUUCCAGGUACACCAAGCAAGAAAGAUAAAACCUUGCCACUUAAAAAGCAGAAAGCCAACACACGGUACCAAAGCCAGUAAACUGGAAGACCUAUCUGAAGAGAAAUGGAGGCUGCAUGAAAAUGUGCUCUUGAAUAAACCACAAUUCUUUA
rnacentral:lncRNA from 1 species